rnacentral:rRNA from 1 species
UAGGGAAUAUUGCACAAUGGAGGAAACUCUGAUGCAGCGACGCCGCGUGAGUGAUGAAGGCCUUAGGGUCGUAAAGCUCUGUCGCAGGGGAAUAAAAAAAUGAAUGUACCCUGCAAGAAAGGAUCGGCUAACUUCGUGCCAGCAGCCGCGGUAAGACGAGGGAUCCUAGCGUUGUUCGGAAUUAUUGGGCGUAAAGCGGGUGCAGGUGGCUAUGUAAGUCAGGUGUGAAAGCCUAGGGCUCAACCCUAGAAGUGCAUUUGAUACUGCGUAGCUUGAGUGCUAGAGAGGAUAGUAGAAUUCCUGGUGUAGUGGUGAAAUACGUAGAUAUCAGGAGGAAUACCGGCGGCGAAGGCGGCUAUCUGGCUAGACACUGACACUCAGACCCGAAAGCGUGGGGAUCAAACAGG